rnacentral:tRNA from 1 species
UAUAUUUUAAUGUAUAAGCAUAUAAAAUUUUGAAUUUUAGAGAAUUAAGAAUAUUAAUAAAUA